rnacentral:rRNA from 1 species
UACGUAGGUGGCAAGCGUUGUCCGGAUUUACUGGGCGUAAAGAGCGCGCAGGCGGCUGGUCAAGUCCGAUGUGAAAUCUCCCGGCUCAACUGGGAAACUGCAUUUGUGACUGUAGAGCUGGAGUACGGUAGAGGGGGAUGGAAUUCCGCGUGUAGCAGUGAAAUGCGUAGAUAUGCGGAGGAACACCGAUGGCGAAGGCAAUCCCCUGGACCUGUACUGACGCUCAUGCACGAAAGCGUGGGGAGCAAACAGG